CCUACGGGAGGCAGCAGUCGAGAAUCAUUCACAAUGGGGGAAACCCUGAUGGUGCGACGCCGCGUGGGGGAAUGAAGGUCUUCGGAUUGUAAACCCCUGUCAUGUGGGAGCAAAUUAAAAAGAUAGUACCACAAGAGGAAGAGACGGCUAACUCUGUGCCAGCAGCCGCGGUAAUACAGAGGUCUCAAGCGUUGUUCGGAAUCACUGGGCGUAAAGCGUGCGUAGGCUGUUUCGUAAGUCGUGUGUGAAAGGCGGGGGCUCAACCCGCGGACGGCACAUGAUACUGCGAGACUAGAGUAAUGGAGGGGGAAGCGGAAUUCUUGGUGUAGCAGUGAAAUGCGUAGAUAUCGAGAGGAACACUCGUGGCGAAGGCGGGUUCCUGGACAUUAACUGACGCUGAGGCACGAAGGCCAGGGGAGCGAAAGGGAUUAGAUACCCCUGUAGUC
rnacentral:rRNA from 1 species